rnacentral:rRNA from 1 species
CCCUUAGAUGUUCUGGGCCGCACGCGCGCUACACUGAUGCAUUCAACGAGCCUAUCCUUGACCGACAGGUCCGGGUAAUCUUUGAAUCUGCAUCGUGACGGGGAUAGAUUAUUGCAAUUAUUAAUCUUCAACGAGGAAUGCCUAGUAGACGCAAGUCAUCAGCUUGCGUCGAUUACGUCCCUGCCCUUUGUACACACCGCCCGUCGCUCCUACCGAUUGGCUGUGUUGGUGAAAUGUUCGGAUCGGCCGUUUGUCGCGGUUUCCGCGUCAUGUGGCUGAGAAGUUCAUUAAACCCUCCCACCUAGAGGAAGGAGAAGUCGUAACA